rnacentral:tRNA from 1 species
CUUCGCCGGAGCCGCCCUUGACGAGCGUUCGCGCUUUCGUCGCGAGCGGUUCGGGCCGCGUGCGAAGGCGCGCGACGAACA